CAAUAGCGUAUAUUAAAGUUGUUGCGGUUAAAAAGCUCGUAGUUGGAUUUCUGCCGAGGACGACCGGUCCGCCCUCUGGGUGAGCAUCUGGCUCGGCCUGGGCAUCUUCUUGGAGAACGUAUCUGCACUUGACUGUGUGGUGCGGUAUUCAGGACUUUUACUUUGAGGAAAUUAGAGUGUUUAAAGCAGGCAAUUGUCUUUGAAUAGAUUAGCAUGGAAUAAUAAUUUAGGACUUCGGUUCUAUUUUGUUGGUUUCUAGUACUGAAGUAAUGAUUGAUAGGGAUAGUUGGGGGUGCUCGUAUUCAGCGGCCAGAGGUGAAAUUCUUGGAUUCGCUGAAGACGAACUUAUGCGAAAGCAUUCACCAAGGAUGUCUUCUUUAAUCAAGAACGAAAGUUAGGGGAUCGAAGAUGAUCAGAUACCAU
rnacentral:rRNA from 1 species